rnacentral:rRNA from 1 species
GGAGGGCAAGUCUGGUGCCAGCAGCCGCGGUAAUUCAGCUCAAUAGCGUAUAUUAAAGUUGUUGCAGUUAAAAAGCUCGUAGUUGGACUUCAAGAAGCGCAUCUGGGGCAACCAGUUUUGCCUUCUACCAGCCCUAGGCUGUUACUGUGAGAAAAUUAGAGUGUUUCAAGCAGGCUUUUGCAGGAAUACAUUAGCAUGGAAUAACGAAUGUGUCUACAAUUUGGUUGAUUGUAGGUUACAAUUAAUAGGGACAGUUGGGGGCAUUAGUAUUUAAUAGUCAGAGGUGAAAUUCUUGGAUUUGUUAAAGACUAACGUAUGCGAAAGCAUUUGCCAAGGAUGUUUUCAUUAAUCAAGAACGAAAGAUAGGGGAUCAAAGACGAUCAGAUACCGUCGUAGUCCUAUCUAUAAACUAUGCCGACUAGGGAUUAGUGCGGUCAGUACCGCAUUAGUACCUUAUGAGAAAUCAAAGUCUUUGGGUUCUGGGG